CCUCAUUGCCUAUAAAAAAACAGAAGGUUCCAAUAGAUCUCAUUAUUAGUCCGACCACAGAGAGUCCCUGCAUUUCUUAGGUGUCUAAUAUCAUCUGUCCACUCUUCAACUUGUUAUUAAACAUGGCAACUACACUCUUGCUCAUUGGUGGACAGGGAGGCGCUCCAUUUGCCUUCACUGGCCUUGACAACGGUGCCACCCUUAAGAAGAUUGGAGUGGCAGUGGGCGGCUGGAUGAUCAAAGCAGUACGGGCCGAGCUGACCGAUGGGCGUGUGCAGUCCUUUGGAAAUGCGUACACUUUCAAUGAGUUUACGUUUAACCUUGGCGAGCGCAUCACCAAGCUGUCCCUCUGGGGUAACGGUGCCGGGACACGUCUAGGUGGCAUCAGGUUCUGGACGAGUACUGGACGCGAGUUCUUCCAGUACAUGACCGACUGGCCCCUGAAGACCGAGUACUCUAUCAACAUUGGGUCUGGAGUCUGCCUGGGGUUGCAGGGGAGAUCUGGCGAAGACAUCGACUGUAUGGGAUUCCUCUUCAUCAAUGCCAUCAAGUCGUCUGUGCUAACCAACAUGACCUAUCCCAGCCUGGCCAUGUACAUACCCCAGGUCAACAAAGAAUACAUCAAAUCGGUGUCUUAUCACAACGACACCUCUGAGGCUCAAGAGCAGAAAUGUAGCUACACCAGAUCUGUGACCAAGUCUAAAUCCUGGAGCACCACCGUUAAGAUUGAGUCCACCGUCAGCAUGAGCGUUUCAGCAGGGAUCCCGGAUCUGGUGGAGGUGUCCGGUGGGUUUAGCUUGACCCUGGGAGCUGAGACGACCUCCGCAAUGACCUAUGAAGAGACCAUAACGGAAUCAGAUGAGGUGGAUGUGAAGGUCCCGGCAGGAAAGACCGUGAGCGUUGAGUUGUCAGUGGGACGAGCAGUCAUCGACCUCCCCUACUCGGCCACCGUGGAAAUCACAUGCCUGAAUGGCAGCCAGCUGGACUUCGCAUCCACUGGCAGCUACACCGGUGUGGCUUACACUGCAGUGAAUGUGAAAACCACUGAGUCUGAUAAAGUCAUGAAUGUUGAAUAAGAUGCAUCAACAUCUUACUGUGCACAGUUUUUACGUUGAUUGCAUAACAUUGGUUUGAUUGCUAAUGCAGAGCCAUGUGAACUUGCUAAGUGAUUGACUGUCACAGAUAAAUAAAUCAUCAUCAUAAACCUGCUUUACUCAUGAGUGUACUACCUCGGCCAUUGAAGUUUAUGAAGUUUGAGAGAAAGUGCUGAAAUUUGGCUGAAAGUUUUGGACAACUCAUUUACAGACCUCUAAACCCAGUCAUCUAGCGCCACCAACAGGUCAAAAUUCGGUCAAAUAUCAUUAAAUUCGGCUCACUGAUUUAGGACCGUCCUAUGAUCAUGCACACCGAUUUAUAUAACUCUAUGCCCAACACUUUAGUGCCACGAAUGGGUGAAAGUUGGACAUGCAGUCCUAAUGUGAUCUCUGAACUAGGCAUCAAAACAUCAAGUAACGCCAAUGGUACCACAUUUCUUUAAUUAGAUGUUGUUUGUAUUUGUUUCUUCUUCAUGAUUUUGUUUUAAUAUGUUGUGUACUUUAUAUAUAUAUAUAUGUGUCUUUUUUUCUUUUUUUUUUUUACAAUUUAACGCAGGUUUUCAUCUUCUUCUUGGGUUUUCACACUACCAUGUUGUCCCAUGACCCAAAUGGCCAAUCAAACAUUUUCAAAUAUUUAGCCAAUCUUGAAUAUUCAAUUUCCAUCCAUCCAUCCAUUAAAUUGACUGCAGUACAUAAAUGUGUCCAUUAGGGGCGCCCAAGAGCACUUAGUCAGUCGCUGUUAAUCUUUCAUUUCUCAAAAACACAGAGGCAAAAAAAUUAUCACUGGGCUAUUUUGUUCAUGCCAUAGCUAACUUGGAACAUUACAGUUUGACAAACAAAAAAGUUUAUUAAUGAGCUGGCGACUUGUCCAGGGUGUACCCUGCCUUCCACCCGAGUGCAGCUGGGAUAGGCUACAGUCCCCAGCGACCCCAAAAAGGACAAGCGGUAGGAAAUGGAUAGAUGGAUAUUAUAACGCAAUAAAUCACAUACUAACAACAGAAGGACGGCUGACGUGAUGCUGUAGUCUCGCGGGAGCGUACGUGACGUGGAAAAAACAGUCAAGCGGCUCACAAGGCUGUCAAAACAAUUCAAAUGUAUUCAAACAUCCGCCAAAGUAAGCUUAGGCAAAAUAGGCAAACAACAAACUAAAAUAUCAAAAUUUGCACUAAAUUGAAGAGUGCUUCGGUCGUCUUGUCACGGGAAAGCCCACAAAGACGCCAACUUCCAAACGGAGCCGCCUGGAAGACUCACCUGGAUGUGUGUCACCACCAGGUACCUUAAUGUGAGGACAUUAAGUUAUUUUUGUUUAUUCCUGGUCCCCACCUGUAAUUUUAAAUGAGUGUAUCAGUUUACACAUUACUAUAUUAAUGCCGGAAAUAACCAGCUCGGUGUUUGUGAUUGCUACUCUUAUUGUGAAGGGCAAUGUAGAGGGAACGGAAGUCAAGCGGAAGGUGAGCAACCCCUCCCUCUUCCCUCAGACCGAGAUUCGGGGAAGAAAAUGGCGGUUCACUCCUAAAUUCAUUGAUUCCGUUAUUCUGUUUUCCAGUUUCACCCUUUUGAAUGUCAAUAAACCUGCUGACAAGGCUCAUCGGUCUCCAGAGUCGUGACAUGGUGCAGGUGUACCCAAUGUUGCUGCUUCCAUACUCACCGCUGCGCUCAGCCUGAGUCUGAUGCCUGAAGGUGAUGUCGACAAAGGCGGCGGUGGGACAGAAUCACAACAAUGCCGCAUCAGCACAAACGCUUUGCCAAUCAAGGAGCGCCAUGCAUCAAAACGUCUGCUUUCUUUCAAUAACUUGAUGCAUGACACAUAUCGGUGCCAUCCCUUUAUCACAUCUUCACUUCCUUUUCCUGCGCUACUUCCUCAUAUUCUGUUAAAUGAGGUGAUGGCGGCGACACAUCUGAAUUCCAUAACCAGAACAAUGUUUGCAGGAUAACUGAUCAGUUUAGUCUCGUUUGCUGUCUAAAGAAGCUGACGUGAGCUGGGGGAAUUGGAUCUAUUGUACUUUCAUGCAGACCCCCGCUAAGUCACAAGUUCAAUGCAGCAAUGAAACAGGAGUUCAGAACAUUCAGAAACAGAUGCUCCCUCUCUUGUGAAAGUGUGUUUUUGUUGACUUCUAAAUUCUACAGCGUCCCGUUUAGGCAGCAAAUCAGUGUAGUCACGCCCUCUGCUGGCUUCUUAGUGACAGUACAAGCUUGUUGACGCCACAUGCUCUAUUAAAUGAACUGCAUUUAUGUUCCAAACCCACCACAGACAUCUGCUUUAAGGCUGAGUGUGCAGGUCACGUGUACCAACCUUGUAUGUUGGACAGCGCGUACUCCAGCCCUUUCAUGGCUUUCGCUUGGUUGCUCUUGAAGCGAGCCAAUCCGAACUCCUGGCGGGGAGGACAAACAGGAAAUAAGCUUGACAUAAAAGAGAGACAUUGAAAAAAAGAAAACUGCCUCCUUUUCUUGUGGCGGUCGCGACAAAUUGUCAUGUCCUUCGGGGACCGUGAGAAACCUAACUUGGAUUUUCUUGCACAAACUCAGCUGGUGAGUGUGUGACUAAUCGCAA